GACGAACGCUGGCGGCGUGCUUAACACAUGCAAGUCGAACGGAAAGGCCCUGCUUGUGUGGUGUGCUCGGGUGGCGAACGGGUGCGGAACACGUGAGUAACCUGCCCUUGACUUUGGGGUAACUUCAGGAAACGGGGGCUAAUACCGGAUAGGAGCUCCUGCUGCAUGGUGGGGGGGGGAAAGUUUCGGCGGUUGGGGAUGGACUCGCGGCUUAUCGGCUUGUUGGUGGGGUAGGGGUUUACCAAGGCUUUGACUGGUAGCCGGCCUGGGAGCGUGACCGGCCACAUGGGGACUGCGAUACGGCCCAGACUCCUACGUGAGGCAGCGGUGGGGAAUCUUGCACAAUGGGCCGAAGCCUGAGGAAGCAACGCCGCGUGCGGGAUGACGGCCUUCGGGUUGUAAACCGCUUUCGCCUGUGACGAAGCGUGAGUGACGGUAAUGGGUAAAGAAGCACCGGCUAACUACGUG
rnacentral:rRNA from 1 species